rnacentral:rRNA from 1 species
CGCUGGCGGCGUGCUUAACACAUGCAAGUCGAACGGUGAAGGGAAGCUUGCUUCCCGGAUCAGUGGCGAACGGGUGAGUAACACGUGGGCAAUCUGCCCCAGACUUUGGGAUAACUACUCGAAAGAGUAGCUAAUACCGAAUAUUCAGCCUUGCAGGUAUCUGCGAGGCUGGAAAGUUUCUCGGUCUGGGAUGAGCCCGCGGCCUAUCAGCUAGUUGGUGAGGUAAUGGCUCACCAAGGCGACGACGGGUAGCCGGCCUGAGAGGGCGACCGGCCACACUGGGACUGAGACACGGCCCAGACUCCUACGGGAGGCAGCAGUGGGGAAUAUUGCGCAAUGGGCGAAAGCCUGACGCAGCAACGCCGCGUGCGGGAUGAAGGCCUUCGGGUUGUAAACCGCUUUCAGCAGGGAAGAAGCGAAAGUGACGGUACCUGCAGAAGAAGCACCGGCUAACUACGUG